CCUAUGUUUCUCAAUAUAUGAUUUGUGCAACAGAUAUUUCUUGGAGAAAAUGGUGCCCAUGAUACUGAAGGAAAUGAUUUGCUAUGUUUGGUUUAUGUUUCACAAAAGUAGGCACAGGAAAAAAAAAAGUUGGGGCCAUGAAUACCAUGAGAACUCCAGCUUCAGAAGAGGAAUCUCGCAUGCCAACUUUCUUUUGGAUAAUCCCAAUUGGCUGUCGUUGCAGGGGUUUCUAAGUGUGAUGAAAUGCCUACUAGAAGAAGAGUGUGAGACCAAUUGAGAUUGAGGUUGUAUUUCUCCACUCUGGUCUUGAAGAAGGUUCUUUUGGGUGCUUUGUUUUGUACAAGAAUUCUAUUGUGACAGCGUGAUGGUGAUCUCUUUGUCCAGUGAAGAUAAGGAAUGUGGCAUUUUUUUCUUGUAUUUUCCAUUCUUAGUAUUAAGGUGAGACUGUAAUUGUUCUUGUGAUUCUACCUUAUUAUUUGAUGAAAUAUUUUGUUAUCUAAGAGUAAGCUAUGUUAUUGAUGUUUAUUGGUUGUCUCUGGUCUAUCUAGAGAGAAAUAUUGUAAUCUCAUUAUUUAACAUAGUGAAAGU